rnacentral:rRNA from 1 species
AGGACGAACGCUGGCGGCGUGCUUAACACAUGCAAGUCGAGCGGAAAGGCCCUUCGGGGUACUCGAGCGGCGAACGGGUGAGUAACACGUGAGCAACCUGCCCCUGGCUCUGGGAUAGCCUCCGGAAACGGGGAUUAAUACCGGAUAUUCACUGCUUCCUGCAUGGGGGGUGGUGGAAAGUUUUUCGGCUAGGGCGGGGCUCGCGGCCUAUCAGCUUGUUGGGGGGGUGACGGCCCACCAAGGCGACGACGGGUAGCCGGCCUGAGAGGGCGACCGGCCACACUGGGACUGAGACACGGCCCAGACUCCUACGGGAGGCAGCAGUGGGGAAUAUUGCGCAAUGGGCGGAAGCCUGACGCAGCGACGCCGCGUGCGGGAUGAAGGCCUUCGGGUUGUAAACCGCUUUCACCAGGGACGAAGCGAGAGUGACGGUACCUGGGGAAGAAGCGCCGGCUAACUACGUGCCAGCAGCCGC